rnacentral:rRNA from 1 species
AGCAGCCGCGGUAAUUCCAGCUCCAAUAGCGUAUAUUAAAGUUGUUGCAGUUAAAAAGCUCGUAGUUGAAUUUCGGGGUUAGUAGGUUGGUCGUGCCACCGGUAUGUACUGGCUUUACUGAUCCCUCCUUCUUGUAGAACCGUAAUGCCAUUAAUUUGGUGUUGCGGGGAAACAGGACUGUUACUUUGAAAAAAUUAGAGUGUUUAAAGCAGGCUAACGCUUGAAUACAUUAGCAUGGAAUAAUGAAAUAGGACGUUUGAUUCUAUUUUGUUGGUUUCUAGGAUCGACGUAAUGAUUAAUAGGGAUAGUUGGGGGCAUUAGUAUUCAAUUGUCAGAGGUGAAAUUCUUGGAUUUAUUGAAGACUAACUACUGCGAAAGCAUUUGCCAAGGAUGUUUUCAUUAAUCAAGAACGAAAGUUAGGGGAUCGAAGACGAUCAGAUACCGUCGUAGUCUUAACCAUAAACUAUGCCGACUAGGGAUCGGAUGAUGUUAAUUUUUUAAUGACUCAUUCUGCGCCUUACG